ACUCCUACGGGAGGCAGCAGUGGGGAAUAUUGCACAAUGGGCGCAAGCCUGAUGCAGCCAUGCCGCGUGUAUGAAGAAGGCCUUCGGGUUGUAAAGUACUUUCAGCAGUGAGGAAGGUGGAGUCGUUAAUAGCGGCCUCAUUUGACGUUAGCUGCAGAAGAAGCACCGGCUAACUCCCGUGCCAGCAGCCGCGGUAAUACGGAGGGUGCGAGCGUUAAUCGGAAUUACUGGGCGUAAAGCGCAUGCAGGUGGUUUGUUAAGUCAGAUGUGAAAGCCCGGGGCUCAACCUCGGAAUUGCAUUUGAAACUGGCAGACUAGAGUACUGUAGAGGGGGGUAGAAUUUCAGGUGUAGCGGUGAAAUGCGUAGAGAUCUGAAGGAAUACCGGUGGCGAAGGCGGCCCCCUGGACAGAUACUGACACUCAGAUGCGAAAGCGUGGGGAGCAAACAGGAUUAGACUACCCGUGGUAGGAUACA
rnacentral:rRNA from 1 species